UGCCAGACAGCGUCAGGCCCCGGUGAAAGAGUAAGCUUCUUCUCUGAGGGUCAAGAAGAGUGUGGUUUUCCAUUGCUGUGUGCAUAAUAGCUAGUUCCUAUUGGCAAGGGUGGACUAUCCUUUUGCUGAGCAGGACUGAAAUAUAAAACAGAAAACCUGAGAGGGAAGAAGUAACGCUAUAUAGAAGACAAUUCAUAAUGUAAAAAGGUCUGCAUGGAAGAGGAUUGAAGAGCCAGAUGACAGAUGAGAGCCAAAAGGUUUGGAGGGUCCCAUAAGAAUGUCCAGACAAGCUUAUGUGAAUAUCCCUCUUGCAGGAACAAUGGUCAAAAACUGGAGCCAGGAUCUGUCUACUGUAUUCGUGAUAAGUUGGGUAAUUUUUAUUUUGUUUUGGUUAAAUAAUACCUCCAAAUAAUGAAUAUUGAAUAAAAUAUAAAACUAUUUUGAAUAAAAU
rnacentral:lncRNA from 10 species